rnacentral:rRNA from 1 species
CUACGGGUGGCAGCAGUGGGGAGUAUUGCACAAUGGGCGCAAGCCUGAUGCAGCCAUGCCGCGUGUAUGAAGAAGGCCUUCGGGUUGUAAAGUACUUUCAGCGGGGAGGAAGGGAGUAAAGUUAAUACCUUUGCUCAUUGACGUUACCCGCAGAAGAAGCACCGGCUAACUCCGUGCCAGCAGCCGCGGUAAUACGGAGGGUGCAAGCGUUAAUCGGAAUUACUGGGCGUAAAGCGCACGCAGGCGGUUUGUUAAGUCAGAUGUGAAAUCCCCGGGCUCAACCUGGGAGCUGCAUCUGAUACUGGCAAGCUUGGGUCUCGUAGAGGGGAGUAGAAUUCCAGGUGUAGCGGUGAAAUGCGUAGAGAUCUGGAGGAAUACCGGUGGCGAAGGCGGCCCCCUGGACGAAGACUGACGCUCAGGUGCGAAAGCGUGGGGAGCAAACAGGAUUAGAUACCCGAGUAGUC